rnacentral:rRNA from 1 species
UACAGAGGUGGCAAGCGUUGUUCGGAAUUACUGGGCGUAAAGGGCGCGUAGGCGGCCUGUUAAGUCGAACGUGAAAUCCCGGGGCUCAACCCCGGGACUGCAUUCGAUACUGUCAGGCUAGAGGUAGGUAGGGGAGAUCGGAAUUCCUGGUGUAGCGGUGAAAUGCGCAGAUAUCAGGAGGAACACCAGUGGCGAAGGCGGAUCUCUGGGCCUUACCUGACGCUCAGGCGCGAAAGCUAGGGGAGCGAACAGG